rnacentral:rRNA from 1 species
UACGGAGGGUGCGAGCGUUAAUCGGAAUUACUGGGCGUAAAGCGCGCGUAGGCGGACUAGAAAGUUGGGGGUGAAAUCCCGGGGCUCAACCUCGGAACUGCAUUUGAAACUGGUAGUCUAGAGUAUUGUAGAGGGUGGUGGAAUUUCCAGUGUAGCGGUGAAAUGCGUAGAGAUUGGAAGGAACAUCAGUGGCGAAGGCGGCCACCUGGACAAAUACUGACGCUGAGGCACGAAAGCGUGGGGAGCGAACAGG